rnacentral:rRNA from 1 species
CCUGCGGAGGGAUCAUUACAGAGUUGCAAAACUCCCACACCCUCGCGAACCUUACCCGUACCGUUGCUUCGGCGGGCGGCCCCGCGCCGUAAAGCCUGCCCCCGUGCAGGCGCCCGCCGGAGGUAACCCCCCCAAAACCUCUUGUUUCCCAACGGCCUCUCUGAGCGGAUUUAGAAGCAAAUACGUUAAAACUUUCAACAACGGAUCUCUUGGUUCUGGCAUCGAUGAAGAACGCAGCGAAAUGCGAUAAGUAAUGUGAAUUGCAGAAUUCAGUGAAUCAUCGAAUCUUUGAACGCACAUUGCGCCCGCCGGCAUUCCGGCGGGCAUGCCUGUCCGAGCGUCAUUUCACCCCUCAAGCACCGCUUGGCGUUGGGGCACCGCGGCCGCCCGCGGGCCCUGAAAACCAGUGGCGGGCUCGCCGCGGCCCCGAGCGCAGUAGUACACCUCGCUCCGGGCGCCCGGCGGGCCUCGCGCCGUGAAAGAAAAACGCAACCCACCCCAGGUUGACCUCGGAUCAGGUAGGAAUACCCGCUGAACUUAAGCAUAUCA